UAAAAUGUAACAAGCACACAAACUUUAGUGCGGCUUUCAGGUGUGAAACUAAACAGUCACAUGUUGCAGGAAUCUGCUGCUGGGGAAACAGCGCCUGCUGGUGGCCGAGAUCCACAGGAUAUUAUCAGCUCGUCACGUUUACAUCCGAAUACUGAGAGAGAUGAAACUCACACACCUGAGACUACCGCCGGACACACAGGUACACACACACACAUAUAUACAUACACUCACACUCAUACACAUACACAUACAAACACAUACACUUGCGCGCACACUUACUCUUGCACACUCCCACAUGGUUGUUGUGUUUGUGCUGGUCUGAGAGAAUGAAGGUCUGAAGCUGCUGUUAUUGGUCAGAUUCUUCAGCCGGAGCACCUAUCAGAACUGGAGACUGCCUCUGAGCUCCUGCAGGAACACGCCCAGUUCUUACUCGGUCACGCCCUCAUCCACAGUGCUCGACUGCGAUUGGUGGACUCUGCUUCUGAAAAUGCAGCAGCAGCGUACGAUGGACAAAAGGAGCAGCUGAAGGCGGCGGUGUGUGAGAGUAUGUGUGUGACGUCGGAUUCCGUCACGGCGUUCAUCAUAAACUACUACUUCCGGAUACGAACCGUCAUCAUGGCAACACAACACAGCUGCCAGCGCCAUCGCACCAGUCUGAGAAAGAGGCGGAGAAGAAGAGUGGAGUGUGUUCGAGCUCUACAGAAAGAACUGAGUGACUGGGCAAGAAAACCCCACUCUACUGAGUUCUACAAAAGAGUGGAGCAGCAGAAGCGGCGCUGUCUGUCUCAGUGUGAGGAGGAGGAGGAGGAGGAGGUGGAAGGUGUGUGUGUGUGUGGGUGUGCUUGUGAAUAGUGUGUGCGUGGUGUUUGUGUGUGUGUGUGUGUGUAAAUAAUAUGUGUGUGUGUGUGUGUGUGUGUGUGGGUAGAAAUUGUUUGAUGUUUUUUCAGGAAGUGUAGCUGACCUGUGGAGGGAGUGUCUACUGAGCACCCUCACUACAAGCUCCGCCCUCUCAGUGGAUAACUGUAAGAGACUGGUGGACAACACAGAGCUCAAACUGACCAAUCAGAUCCAGCGAGAGAGCCACACCCACCAGCAACUGCACAUACUGAGAGAACAUCUGCAGCAAGACAUACAGGUAAGUAUGGGCGGGGCUAAGCUACCGUAGACUGAAUUGAUGGGGCU
rnacentral:lncRNA from 1 species